rnacentral:rRNA from 1 species
AACGAACGCUGGCGGCGUGCCUAACACAUGCAAGUCGAGCGCGAAAAGGGCAACCUGAGUAGAGCGGCGCACGGGUGCGUAACACGUGGGUAAUCUGCCUUAGAGUCGAGGAUAACCUUCCGAAAGGUUGGCUAAUACUCGGUAAGCUUACGGUGUCUUCGGACGCUGUGGGAAAAGUAGGCCUCUGUUUACAAGCUUACGCUCUGAGAUGAGCCCGCGGCCCAUCAGCUAGUUGGCGGUGUAACGGACCACCAAGGCAACGACGGGUAGCUGGUCUGAGAGGACGAUCAGCCACACUGGAACUGAGACACGGUCCAGACUACUACGGGAGGCAGCAGGGGGGAAUUUUCCACAAUGGGCGAAAGCCUGAUGGAGCAACGCCGCGUGUGUGAUGAAGGUUUUCGGAUCGUAAAGCACUUUCGACUGGGACGAAAAACCUUUGGCUAACAUCCAGGGGCCUGACGGUACCAGGAGAAGAAGCACCGGCUAACUCUGUGCCAGCCGCCGCAGUAACAC